rnacentral:rRNA from 1 species
GAUGAACGCUGGCGGCGUGCCUAAUACAUGCAAGUCGAGCGAACGGACGAGAAGCUUGCUCCUCUGAUGUUAGCGGCGGACGGGUGAGUAACACGUGGAUAACCUACCUAUAAGACUGGGAUAACUUCGGGAAACCGGAGCUAAUACCGGAUAAUAUUUUGAACCGCAUGGUUCAAUAGUGAAAGACGGUUUUGCUGUCACUUAUAGAUGGAUCCGCGCUGCAUUAGCUAGUUGGUAAGGUAACGGCUUACCAAGGCAACGAUGCGUAGCCGACCUGAGAGGGUGAUCAGCCACACUGGAACUGAGACACGGUCCAGACUCCUACGGGAGGCAGCAGUGGGGAAUAUUGCGCAAUGGGCGAAAGCCUGACGGAGCCACGCCGCGUGAGUGAAGAAGGUCUUCGGAUCGUAAAGCUCUGUUAUUAGGGAAGAAAAGAAGUGUAAGUAAAUCUGCACGUUUUGACGGUACCUAAACAGAAAGCAACGGCUAACUACGUG